AUUGAACGCUGGCGGCAGGCCUAACACAUGCAAGUCGAGCGGAGCGGCGGACGGGUGAGUAAUGCCUAGGAAUCGGCCUGGUAGUGGGGGCUAACGUCCGGCAACGGGCGCUAAUACCGCAUACUAUCAGAUGAGCCUAGGUCGGAGUAGCUAGUUGGGGGGGUAAAGGCCUACAAAGGCGACGAUCCGUAACGGGUCUGAGAGGAUGAUCAGUCACACUGGAACUGAGACACGGUCCAGACGCCUACGGGAGGCAGCAGUGGGGAAUAUUGGACAAUGGGCGAAAGCCUGAUGCAGCCAUGCCGCGGGUGUGAAGAAGGUCGUCGGAUUGUAAAGCACUUGAAGUUGGGAGGCGGUACCAACAGAAUAAGCACCGGCUAACUUCGUGCCAGCAGCCGCGGUAAUAC
rnacentral:rRNA from 1 species